rnacentral:misc_RNA from 1 species
UGUGGGAGCGGGCUUGCUCGCGAAGGCGGUGGACCUGCUGGCAUAUAUGUUGGCUGUGCCGACGUCUUCGCGAGCAAGCCCGCUCCCACA